rnacentral:rRNA from 1 species
GUCGAGCGAGUGGAGUUCUUCGGAAAAAGCUAGCGGCGGACGGGUGUGUAACACGUGGGCAACCUGCCUCAUAGAGGGGAAUAGCCUCCCGAAAGGGAGAUUAAUACCGCAUAAGAUUGUAGCUUCGCAUGAAGUAGCAAUUAAAGGAGCAAUCCGCUAUGAGAUGGGCCCGCGGCGCAUUAGCUAGUUGGUGAGGUAACGGCUCACCAAGGCGACGAUGCGUAGCCGACCUGAGAGGGUGAUCGGCCACAUUGGGACUGAGACACGGCCCAGACUCCUACGGGAGGCAGCAGUGGGGAAUAUUGCACAAUGGGGGAAACCCUGAUGCAGCAAUGCCGCGUGAGUGAUGACGGCCUUCGGGUUGUAAAGCUCUGUCUUCGGGGACGAUAAUGACGGUACCCGAGGAGGAAGCCACGGCUAACUACGUGCCAGCAGCCGCGGUAAUACGUAGGUGGCAAGCGUUGUCCGGAUUUACUGGGCGUAAAGGGAGCGUAGGCGGAUUUUUAAGUGAGAUGUGAAAUACCCGGGCUUAACUUGGGUGCUGCAUUUCAAACUGGAAGUCUAGAGUGCAGGAGAGGAGAAGGGAAUUCCUAGUGUAGCGGUGAAAUGCGUAGAGAUUAAGAAGAACACCAGUGGCGAAGGCGCUUCUCUGGAUU